GAGACCCAGAAUACCAGGAGCACCAAGAAGACCCUGAGGACCUGGGGUGCCAGGAGGUCCCUGAACAAGAUGAAAAACGCUGAGUGUUACUGGGCUACCACGAGGACCAGCAGGACCAGCAGGACCAGCAGAACCAGCUUCGCCCUAUGAUGGGACCAGAGAUCAGGGUGUUAAUGUGCCUUGCGCAGACGUUCACAGAGGUGGAAGGGAGAGUGGACAGUGGUGAUUCCUAGUCCUUAAAUUCUGUUAUCCGAGGUAUGACCCAUCAUUAUGCGGCUCCGGAUACAGCAAGGUACCCCUGUGUCUGCACAAGCAUGACUCAGGUGAUGGGUUUUCAGAAGGUGUACAGUGAUGCACUGGAGGCCAACUUUUAAUGUGGAAACAGUGCCAUGUGUGACUUGCUCAGAAUCAAUCUGAAACUUACUCGGGGUCCCAUGAGGCCAGGCUCUCCAGGGCGACCAGAG